GUGUGUGUGUGUGUGUGUGUGUGUGUGUGUGUAUAAUGCAGUGUGUGUGUAUACAAUGCACACAAAUACACACACUGCAUUAUAUACACACACUGCAUUAUAUACACACACAGCAUUAUAUACACACACAACACAAACACACUG